CGCACGGGUGAGUAACACGUAUCCAACCUGCCGCUUACUCGGGGAUAGCCUUUCGAAAGAAAGAUUAAUACCCGAUGGUAUAAAGAGUUCGCAUGUUCUCUUUAUUAAAGAAUUCGGUAAGCGAUGGGGAUGCGUUCCAUUAGAUAGUUGGCGGGGUAACGGCCCACCAAGUCUACGAUGGAUAGGGGUUCUGAGAGGAAGGUCCCCCACAUUGGAACUGAGACACGGUCCAAACUCCUACGGGAGGCAGCAGUGAGGAAUAUUGGUCAAUGGACGAGAGUCUGAACCAGCCAAGUAGCGUAGAAGGAUGACUGCCCUAUGGGUUGUAAACUUCUUUUAUAAGGGAAUAAAGUGAGGGACGUGUCCCUUUUUGUAUGUACCUUAUGAAUGAGGAUCGGCUAACUCCGUGCCAGCCGCAGC
rnacentral:rRNA from 1 species